GACAGAGGUGCCAAGCGUUAGGCGGAAUCACUGGGCUUAAAGAGCGUGUAGGCGGUCCGAUAAGUCGGCUGUGAAAGUCAAGGGCUCAACCCUUGAAUGCCGGCCGAUACUGUCGGGCUAGAGUCCGGAAGAGGCGAGUGGAAUUCCUGGUGUAGCGGUGAAGUGCGCAGAUAUCAGGAGGAACACCAAUUGCGAAGGCAGCUCGCUGGGACGUUACUGACGCUGGGACGCGAAAGCGUGGGGAGCAAACAGG
rnacentral:rRNA from 1 species